rnacentral:rRNA from 1 species
GAUGAACGCUGGCGGCGUGCCUAAUACAUGCAAGUCGAGCGAACAGACGAGGAGCUUGCUCCUCUGACGUUAGCGGCGGACGGGUGAGUAACACGUGGAUAACCUACCUAUAAGACUGGGAUAACUUCGGGAAACCGGAGCUAAUACCGGAUAAUAUAUUGAACCGCAUGGUUCAAUAGUGAAAGACGGUUUUGCUGCCACUUAUAGAUGGAUCCGCGCCGCAUUAGCUAGUUGGUAAGGUAACGGCUUACCAAGGCAACGAUGCGUAGCCGACCUGAGAGGCUGAUCGCCCACACUGGAACUGAGCCACGGUCCAGACUCCUACGGGAGGCAGCAGUAGGGAAUCUGCCGCAAUGGGCGAAAGCCUGACGGAGCAACGCCGCGUGAGUGAUGACGGUCUUCGGAUCGUAAAACUCUGUUAUUAGGGAAGAACAAAUGUGUAAGUAACUAUGCACGUCUUGACGGUACCUAAUCAGAAAGCCACGGCUAACUACGUG